UUUACAUAAAAUUUAUGUAAUUCGGUUAUUUACCGAACCAAAUCGUAUAUUCAGUUCGGUAAACGUUAUGAAAUGUUCGCGUACCGAAAUUUAUCUGAUCCGUUAUAGUUUCUUGUUUCGGUUCAUUACAGGGGACUAAAGCACCUUGUGGUUAGCAUCUCUCACUUGUAGUUCCUGUAAUUUCGAGAAACGUGCACUUCAGCUUUCGAAGGAACUGGAUAUCAUUUGUUUGCUGCAAGAAUAUUGCUGUCGGUGCUCGACGCUGCGAUAUCUCCAUGGAUUCGACGAAGCACAAAGCUGUUAUGCGCAGUACGAAAACAGGCGCUACUCGAUAUUUCAGGAAAUGGUAUUAUACCGAAUUCGAUGAAGUAGUACUCUACAGUCGUAACAUCGAAGGAUGAAGCUGAUUAGGGUUGCUGCUAAUUUUUUGGUGAAAAGAGAGAUACACAAUAUAUAUAUA